GAUGAACGCUGGCGGCGUGCCUAAUACAUGCAAGUCGAGCGAACAGAUGAGGAGCUUGCUCCUCUGACGUUAGCGGCGGACGGGUGAGUAACACGUGGAUAACCUACCUAUAAGACUGGGAUAACUUCGGGAAACCGGAGCUAAUACCGGAUAAUAUAUUGAACCGCAUGGUUCAAUAGUGAAAGACGGUUUUGCUGUCACUUAUAGAUGGAUCCGCGCCGCAUUAGCUAGUUGGUAAGGUAACGGCUUACCAAGGCAACGAUGCGUAGCCGACUUGAGAGGGUGUUCGGCGGCACUGGAACGGAGACACGGUCCAGACUCCUACGGGAGGCAGCAGUAGGGAAUCUUCCGCAAUGGGCGAAAGCCUGACGGAGCAACGCCGCGUGAGUGAUGAAGGUCUUCGGAUCGUAAAACUCUGUUAUUAGGGAAGAACAAAUGUGUAAGUAACUAUGCACGUCUUGACGGUACCUAAUCAGAAAGCCACGGCUAACUACGUG
rnacentral:rRNA from 1 species